UCGACUGUUUAUCAAAAACAUAUUUAAUAGAAAUCAUUAUUAAUACAACCUGCUCAAUGAAUUUUUAAAUAGCCGCAGUUCAUACUGUGCUAAGGUAGCAUAAUCAUUUGUCUUUUAAUUAAAGACUAGAAUGAAAGGUUUAACAUUUAAAUUAUUAUUUUAAAAAUCAAUUUACAAAUUAUUCUAAAUGUAAAAAAACAUUUAUUUAAAUGAAAGACGACAAGACCCUAUUGAACUUAACUUAAGUUUAACUGGGGCAGUUUUUUAAUAAAUCUUUAAAUUUUUUUAAAAAAAUGACCCGAUUUAAUCGAUCUCAUAAUCAAGUUACCAUAGGGAUAACAGCGUAAUAUUUUUCUAUAGAUCUUAUAUAAAAAAAUGAUUGCGACCUCGAUGUUGAAUUAAUUUUUCUAUUAAACGCAACAGUUUAAUAAGAAAGUCUGUUCGACUUUUAAAAAAUUACAUGAUUUGAGUUCAGACCGGUGUAAACCAGGUCGGUUUUCUAUCUU
rnacentral:rRNA from 1 species